CACACCUAAGAAAAGCCAUCAGCCCCAGGGACAGGCUCUUUGUGACCUUACGCUUUCUGGCAACAGGCGAGACCUUCAAGUCAUUAGGUUUUCAAUACAGGAUUGGAAGCACAACACUGAGUCGGAUAGUGAUGGAAACGUGCACAGCCCUCACUACAGUGCUGCGUGAUGUUUACUUGAAGACGCCAUCAACUGACUCUGAGUGGACGGCCAUUGCCAGAGACUUUGAAAACAAAUGGCAGUUUCCACACUGCUUAGGAGCAAUAGAUGGGAAACAUGUAUUCAUUCAACCCCCUCGCAACAGUGGAAGCAUGUUUUAUAACUACAAGUCUAGG